rnacentral:rRNA from 1 species
CGCCCCGCAGGGGAGUGGCAGACGGGUGAGUAACGCGUGGGAACGUACCCUUCGCUUCGGAAUAGUCCCGGGAAACUGGGUUUAAUACCGGAUACGCCGUAUUGGGAAAGAUUUAUCGGCGAAGGAUCGGCCCGCGUUAGAUUAGCUAGUUGGCGGUGUAAUGGACCACCAAGGCGACGAUCUAUAGCUGGUCUGAGAGGAUGAUCAGCCACACUGGGACUGAGACACGGCCCAGACUCCUACGGGAGGCAGCAGUGGGGAAUCUUGGACAAUGGGCGCAAGCCUGAUCCAGCCAUGCCGCGUGAGUGAAGAAGGCCUUAGGGUUGUAAAACUCUUUCGCCGGAGAAGAUAAUGACGGUAUCCGGAGAAGAAGCCCCGGCUAACUUCGUGCCAGCAGCCGCGGUAAUACGAAGGGGGCUAGCGUUGUUCGGAAUUACUGGGCGUAAAGCGUACGUAGGCGGAUUUGUAAGUAGGGGGUGAAAUCCCCAGGCUCAACCUGGGAACUGCCUUCUAGACUGCAAGUCUUGAGAUCAGGAGAGGCGAGUGGAAUUCCGAGUGUAGAGGUGAAUUCGUAGAUAUUCGGAGGACACCAGUGGCGAAGCGACUCGCUGGACUGAUACUGACGCUGAGGUACGAAGCGUGGGGAGCAACAGGAUAGAUACCUGGUAUCCCGCCUUAACGAUGAAGCUAGUUUGCAGUAAGCUGCUGCUUGUGACCCCUACCAUUAG